rnacentral:rRNA from 1 species
UACGAAGGGGGCUAGCGUUGCUCGGAAUCACUGGGCGUAAAGCGCACGUAGGCGGAUUGUUAAGUCAGGGGUGAAAUCCUGGAGCUCAACUCCAGAACUGCCUUUGAUACUGGCGAUCUCGAGUCCGGGAGAGGUGAGUGGAACUGCGAGUGUAGAGGUGAAAUUCGUAGAUAUUCGCAAGAACACCAGUGGCGAAGGCGGCUCACUGGCCCGGUACUGACGCUGAGGUGCGAAAGCGUGGGAGCAACA